CCCAGUUCUCCCUUAAAAAUACUUGGGGGAAGAAAGUGCUUGACUACUCACAGUCCUGGGAUGACCUGUGGCGGAAGGUAAACCGAAGGUGACUGCGGUUAACGUCCUCGAUGGGAAUGGCCACCUUCAAGAAUUGAAAAAGAAGUUUAAGCACUGUUAUCAAUAUCGUCCAGCAUAACAGCUUUAUUCAACUGGAGCUAUCAGAAAAAUAUGCAACUGUGAAGUUCUCAUGGGAGAAGUCCUGAGCACACUGCAAGGCAUCCUGGGACCACAGUCUCAAGGGUCACAGAGGAAGGAACUUCAGGGCUGAGACCUGCAGGAAGCGAGGGAACUGAGGCCUGUCCUCACCCAGGGGAGGUGGAGCCCUCAGAUGCUGUGAUAUGAAAUUCCAGAUCAUGGGAGGGAGAGUUUGAAGGAAGGAUGAACCACCAAUAGAAAGCGGUCCCCAAAGAGGUAUCGGGGAUGGCACCCAGACAGGAGCACAUGUACCACUGCCCAGAAUGUGCAUUUCACUAGACAAGUGACGACAAAAAUUUUCACUGUGACUUGAAAAUGCCCACUCCUCCCAGAAGUUCAAGGAACUGGACCCUCGGGCAUGAGCCCAAGGUUCACCAGCUUCAAAGAUCUUGGCCACACACUAGUGAGCCUGGCAGAGCCAGGCUUCUGGUCCUCUUUCCCAGUGAUUUCCUGCUGGCCUGACACCAAACUCCACUUUCCCUGAACGACUCUAAUAAAAGUUUAUCAAAACUC
rnacentral:antisense_RNA from 1 species